GAUGUGUUUGCACAACUUGGGCAUAUAUUGCAUGCCAGGGAGGAAAUAAAAUUCCUACCAUAAAAUAGGUGACUGUCUUUUUUGGCAAAUCACUGCAUCUAUAACCAACUUUAUUUGCCACAAGCCCUCCAUUGAGCACAGUUGUUAGGGUACUUACGCGAUCCUUUAAACUCAUUGACAUAGCUAUCUUUAACUAUACUCAGAAUGAUGAG